rnacentral:rRNA from 1 species
ACGCUGGCGGCAGGCCUAACACAUGCAAGUCGAGCGGUAGAGAGAAGCUUGCUUCUCUUGAGAGCGGCGGACGGGUGAGUAAUGCCUAGGAAUCUGCCUGGUAGUGGGGGAUAACGUUCGGAAACGGACGCUAAUACCGCAUACGUCCUACGGGAGAAAGCAGGGGACCUUCGGGCCCUUGCGCUAUCAGAUGAGCCUAGGUCGGAUUAGCUAGUUGGUGGGGUAAUGGCUCACCAAGGCGACGAUCCGUAACUGGUCUGAGAGGAUGAUCAGUCACACUGGAACUGAGACACGGUCCAGACUCCUACGGGAGGCAGCAGUGGGGAAUAUUGGACAAUGGGCGAAAGCCUGAUCCAGCCAUGCCGCGUGUGUGAAGAAGGUCUUCGGAUUGUAAAGCACUUUAAGUUGGGAGGAAGGGCAGUAAAUUAAUACUUUGCUGUUUUGACGUUACCGACAGAAUAAGCACCGGCUAACUCUGUGCCAGCAGCCGCGGUAAUACAGAGGGUGCAAGCGUUAAUCGGAAUUACUGGGCGUAAAGCGCGCGUAGGUGGUUCGUUAAGUUGGAUGUGAAAUCCCCGGGCUCAACCUGGGAACGGCAUUCAAAACUGACGAGCUAGAGUAUGGUAGAGGGUGGUGGAAUUUCCCGUGUAGCGGUGAAAUGCGUAGAUAUAGGAAGGAACACCAGUGGCGAAGGCGACCACCUGGACUGAUACUGACACUGAGGUGCGAAAGCGUGGGGAGCAAAC